rnacentral:rRNA from 1 species
UACAGAGGGGGGCAAGCGUUGUUCGGAAUUACUGGGCGUAAAGGGCGCGUAGGCGGCCUUCUAAGUCGAACGUGAAAUCCCCGGGCUCAACCCGGGAACUGCGUCCGAUACUGGAAGGCUUGAAUCCGGGAGAGGGAUGCGGAAUUCCAGGUGUAGCGGUGAAAUGCGCAGAUAUCGGGAGGAACACCGGUGGCGAAGGCGGUUCUCUGGGCCUGUACUGACGCUGAGGAGCGAAAGCCAGGGGAGCAAACGGG